UACAGAGGUCUCAAGCGUUGUUCGGAUUCAUUGGGCGUAAAGGGUGCGUAGGUGGCGGGGUAAGUCAGGUGUGAAAUCUCGGGGCUCAACCCCGAAACUGCACUUGAUACUGCCUUGCUCGAGGACUGGAGAGGAGACUGGAAUUCAUGGUGUAGCAGUGAAAUGCGUAGAGAUCAUGAGGAAGACCAGUGGCGAAGGCGGGUCUCUGGACAGUUCCUGACACUGAGACACGAAGGCCAGGGGAGCAAACGGG
rnacentral:rRNA from 1 species